CUAAGUUUGAUGGCGACCGGCGCACGGGUGAGUAACACGUAUCCAACCUGCCGAUGACUCGGGGAUAGCCUUUCGAAAGAAAGAUUAAUACCCGAUGGCAUAGUUCUUCCGCAUGGUGGAACUAUUAAAGAAUUUCGGUCAUCGAUGGGGAUGCGUUCCAUUAGGCAGUUGGUGGGGUAACGGCCCACCAAACCUUCGAUGGAUAGGGGUUCUGAGAGGAAGGUCCCCCACAUUGGAACUGAGACACGGCCCAAACUCCUACGGGAGGCAGCAUG
rnacentral:rRNA from 1 species